GACGUAGGGCGCGAGCGUUGUCCGGAAUUAUUGGGCGUAAAGAGCUCGUAGGCGGUCUGUUACGUCGGCUGUGAAAACCUGGGGCUCAACUCCGGGCCUGCAGCCGAUACGGGCAGACUAGAGUUCGGCAGGGGAGACUGGAAUUUACGGUGUAGCGGUGAAAUGCGUAGAUAUCGUAAGGAAGACCAGUGGCGAAGGCGGGUCUCUGGACAGUUACUGACGCUCAGGCACGAAAGCAUGGGGAGCAAAAGGG
rnacentral:rRNA from 1 species